GAUGAACGCUGGCGGCGUGCCUAAUACAUGCAAGUCGAGCGAACAGACGAGGAGCUUGCUCCUCUGACGUUAGCGGCGGACGGGUGAGUAACACGUGGAUAACCUACCUAUAAGACUGGGAUAACUUCGGGAAACCGGAGCUAAUACCGGAUAAUAUAUUGAACCGCAUGGUUCAAUAGUGAAAGACGGUUUUGCUGUCACUUAUAGAUGGAUCCGCGCCGCAUUAGCUAGUUGGUAAGGUAACGGCUUACCAAGGCAACGAUGCGUAGCAGACCUGAGAGGGUGAUCGGCCACACUGGAACUGAGACACGGUCCAGACUCCUAAGGGAGGCAGCAGUAGGGCAUCUUCCGCAAUGGGCGAAAGCCUGACGGAGCAACGCAGCGUGAGUGAUGAAGGUCUUCGGAUCGUAAAACUCUGUUAUUAGGGAAGAACAAUUGUGUAAGUACCUAUGCACGUCUUGACGGUACCUAAUCAGAAAGCCACGGCUAACUACGUG
rnacentral:rRNA from 1 species